CCCAGCGAGAUUUAAGAUUGGAGAGUUGAUGUUAUUUGAUGCACUGAACAAUUCAAGUCUUGAAUAUUUGCAUAUAAUCUCUUUUUUUUUUUUUUACUUCCAGCAUCCUUCACACUGCACAGGCUCAUAGAGGAGUUUACCUUCAAACACACUUUUAUAAUCAAACAGCGGCCCUCCCUGUCAGCAAACACGGUCUGGAGAACGUGUGUCAGAGUCCCACAAUGGAACAAUCGCAGAAACGUGCAACUGAAAUAACAUUUGUGUGAAGAGUGAAGUGAAUCAUCAAAACCUUUAAAGCAACAAAUAAUAAUAUAGCUCCAGAUCUCUAGAUUCCUUGGUAUUUGUCACUGUCUCACACAGUUAAAGCACACACACACACACACACACACACACACACACACACACACACACACACACACACACACACACAAAAGCACACAUGCACAUAACAAACAACA